rnacentral:ribozyme from 1 species
CCCGGGCGCUGCUGGGGAAUCUAUCCGACUAUGACUCGUACCAAUGCCCCCCCGGAUUCGACUGUUGGAACCAGCAAUCAUGCCCGAAGC